ensembl:lncRNA
GACGAUUUUGAGAUAACUCAGGAAAGGCGAGACAGGCAUGUAUUUACCUUGGGUUUAGUGGGAUACAUGUCUGUGAUUCGUAGUCGCUUCCAUGUCUCGUCCAGCAUCACUAGUUAUCCCCGUGCAGGAACAGUUCCAGGAAUGCUUGUACCACUCACUGCACCAGCCCCCCUAACGUCAUGGCUCAGAGGUGCUGAGUCACAGGCCAGCCUGCAGCUGGUGCUCUUCAUCAGCUGAUCUCCGAAGUGUGUUGGAGGUGGAGGAGAAACAAGGGUUGAAAUGUAUGGAGCCAGAGGCCAAUGUGUGAAAGUGUCAUCGGUUAUAUGACAUUCUCCUUCCUGAGUCACUCGCUCUGAGGUUGGCGUGGUUUUCAGCACUACAGAAUAAUAACAUGUACUGUUGCUUGAGUUCUCAUAUCAUCACGAUGAUGGACCAUAAAGAAUGG